AUUGAACGCUGGCGGCAGGCCUAACACAUGCAAGUCGAACGAGUGGCGGACGGGUGAGUAAUGUCUGGGAAACUGCCUGAUGGAGGGGGAUAACUACUGGAAACGGUAGCUAAUACCGCAUACCAUCAGAUGUGCCCAGAUGGGAUUAGCUUGUUGGUGGGGUAACGGCUCACCAAGGCGACGAUCCCUAGCUGGUCUGAGAGGAUGACCAGCCAAACUGGAACCGAGACACGGUCCAGACUCCUAAGGGAGGGAGCAGGGGGGAAUAUUGGAACAUUGGGGCAAGGCUGAUGCAGGCAUGCCGCGUGGAAGAAGAAGGCCUUCGGGUUGGAAAGUACUUUCAGCGGGGAGGCGUUACCCGCAGAAGAAGCACCGGCUAACUCCGUGCCAGCAGCCGCGGUAAUAC
rnacentral:rRNA from 1 species